UGAGUAACACGUGGACAAUCUGCCCCCCGGCCCGGGAUAGCCCAGGGAAACCUGGAUUAAUACCGGAUGAGACGGGACCCGCGAAGGCGGGACCCGGGAAAGGCGCUGCGGCGCCGCCGGGGGAUGAGUCUGCGUCCCAUUAGCUAGACGGCGGGGUAACGGCCCACCGUGGCGACGAUGGGGUAGCCCGGCCUGAGAGGGUGGACGGCCACAUUGGAACUGAGACGCGGUCCAGACUCCUACGGGAGGCAGCAGCUAAGAAUCUUCCGCAAUGGGCGAAAGCCUGACGGAGCGACGCCGCGUGAACGAAGAAGGCCGUGAGGUUGUAAAGUUCUUUUCGGGAGGGGGAACAACCGUGGCAGGGAAUGGCCGCGGGAUGACGUGAAUCCCGGAAUAAGCCCCGGCUAACUGCGUGCCAGCCGCAGC
rnacentral:rRNA from 1 species